GGGGGAGCGACUGGGGGAGGAGCGGGAGGCCCUGGAGGAGGGAGGGCUCUAGGGGAGGGGAGGCCCUGAGACCCUUGGGCGAAGGGGCACCCUGGGGUCGGGGAAGGGGUAGGCGCAGGGCCGCUGGGACCCUGGAGGAGGGAGACCCCCGGGGGGGGAGGAUCAGGGCGGGAGGGUCGGUGGGGAGGAGCGGAUCCUGCCUGGAGGACCACGGGGCCCAGGGAAGGGAGAGGAGCCCGGUGGCCGGGGUCGAGGGUUGGGUGGCAGGAGGGUGGUCAGAAGGGGCCUGGGGAGGGGAGUCGGUUGGAUGGGAGGGAGGGGGCAGAGCCCUGCCUUUUAGGGGUCCUGGCAGGGAACUGGCUGAGCUGGCGCCCAGGGCUCCCGGCACAACUGCCCUGGAGAGAGUCGCCGAAGUUAGCCGGACUCGGGAAACCCGGGCUGAGUGUCGCCCUGGCCCAGCCUCUGGGUCCUGACACUGGCUCACGCAGGUCGGGGAGACACGCCCCCAGGCGUCAGUGCCCCACUCCCCUCUGCGGCUGGCGGGCGGGGCUCCAGUCCUCGGCCUCUGGUCAUCCCUGUGUAGAGUGGACCCUGUGCAUUUCUGUAAUGGAAUCUUCAGUUGCAAGUGGUGGAAACCCAGCACGAGCUGGCCCCGGUAAACGGGGCGCCCGUUGGCUGGGGGACAGCAGCGUCUUCCAGUCCCAGACUGACCUGGGCCAGGGGCCAACUUGGGGCUCGCUGGGUGGAGGGGGAGGCAGCCAGGAGAGCUGAGAGUCUGAGACCAGGGGAGGUGGAGGCUGAUGGGCCUCGGGAAGAGGAGUUGACUUGGGGAGAAAUUCUGGACUUCCAGCUCCGAAAUGGGGAGGGGGCUGGGCGCCCCUCUAGGAAACUCCCACGGUCCGGCCCUGCUGUGUCUUCCGGAGGCUCCCAGGGGUCUCGCCUGAGCCCCCGCCCCUCUCCGUAGCCAAGGGGCACACUCACUUUGAGUGGCCAGCAUCUGUGUCCCCCGACCUGCUCCCCCCUAGCUGCAGCUGGAGCAGAAGCCGCCAUGCAAAGGGGGCCACCCGGCGCAGAGAAACCCCUGUGGGCGGCGGGGACCCCAGGCGGGUCUUGGCGAGGGGGCCAGGAAAUCUGCAGCGCCGGGAGGUCUGUGCCGGGACGCGCCUGUUGCUUCGGCUCCUGGAGGUCUUGUCCCCGGCCAGACCUCGGUGGCAGGUGUCUGGGGUCACGGCAGGAACCCGGCCCGAGGGUGGACGGCACAGCUGGGGGAGUCAGGAUGGCUGUGGGGCCCCCCUGACGUCAGCAUCAGCAUGGCUGGGAAGGCAGGGCCUGGCCGUUAACCCCAUCCACCCUGCUCCAGGGCCAGCAAAAGGCAGCCACCGUGCGGCGGCCACGCUCGACCCUUGCUGUCCCCGGCCAGGGCAGGAUGGCGGCUCCCCACUCCCACUGCCCUCACCCCAGACCGGUGCAGCCCCCGUGGCUUGUCCGUCUCGGAGUGCGGAGGGGAGCAGGCGGGAGUCCACACCCUCCGGCUUUCCCGCUCCUCGCGGCCGUCAGUCCUUGUGGGCAGAGCGCGUGGCCGGGAGACGUAGCCAUGGAGACGCGGGCAUCCCCGCGAAGCGGCACCGCCCCACGUGCCUGCAGCCGGCCUGGCGGCGGGGGCCGAGGCCAGACGACCCCACAGAGCCCCCCGCGCUGGGGCGAGCAGCGGGGAGAGGGGCUGGUGCGGGCGCGCCGACGUGCGUGUCUUGAAGUGGCUUAUUUUUAGUUGUGUUAUGUAAGUGGCUUCAGCUCCACGUCACGUCGGCAGGGGGGUCUCAGACUUAAUUACAGGAUGGCAGCCUUCGCUUCCCAGGCAAGCCGCUCUGCUGGCGAGGCGGCGCGGGGCGGCGAGCCCGUGCUGCCAGAAGGCGCCUCACCGCCAGCCCCGUGGCCGGCCUCCGCCACCUCGAGCCGCGUUUGGUGUGAGUGGGGGGCGCUGGGACGGGGGGGGGGGCAUUUGUGCCUCCCCUGCGGCUUCUCUUCCGCCCAAUCAGAACCCCUCUUCCCUGUCCUGCCCCUGGAUUAAAGCAACCGGGAAGCUCAGAGCCGCAGGGCUGCGGGGCCUGCGGGCAGAGCCGGGAGGGAGGCUCAGGUCCACCCGCUGCGCCCCGGCCCUGGACGGGCUCCAGACGUGGACGUGGGGGCCUGCGGCUGGGGGAAGGGUGGGGGUGACUUCCUGCUGGGCUCGGGGCCCUCAGGAGGGGGAAGCUGUGCAAGCUGGCCUCAGCCAGCGGCUGCGGCAUCGCCAGGGAGACGCCCGCGUGGCUGUGCCUGUCGGGGAGGGCGCGCUGCUCCUGCCCCAACGUGACCGCCAUCUUUCCUUUUCUUCCUUUUUUAAGAUUUCUUUAUUUGAAAGAGCGCUUCCAUCUGCUGGUUCACUCCCCAGAUGGCCACAACGGCCAGGGCUGGGCCAGGCCGAAGCCAGGAGCUUCCGGGUCUCCCACUGGGUGCCGGGGCCCAAGCACUUGGGCCAUCUUCCGCUGCCUCCCAGGGCAUUAGCAAGGAGCUGGAAGUGGAGCAGCCGGGACUCCAACAGGUGCCCACACGGGAUGUCGGCGUCCCAGGUGGCGGCUUCACCGGCCCCAUUACCCCCGUGUCGCCUCGAGAAAAGCAUCAGACCUCAGUGGAGGAACCGUCCAGACCCCGGCCCAGCACCGCUCGCGCCUGCCAGGGUCACCCAAAACAAGGACGGCGUGAGACACCGUGGCAGCCCGGAGGGGCCCUGGCUGUCCUGCAGGGUCCUGGGCAGAAGGGGCGUCCGGGGACCGAAGAGCUCUGAGCAAUGCCCGGGCCUCGUCGGGGUUGGCUCGUUAGUCGCCACCAGUGGCGCAGCCGACAGCAAGACGGGGUGGGGGGAGGUCUGGGGGAGGGUCUGGGGUGGGGUGGCGCCUGGCACAAGCCCCCAGCGCAGCCUGCAGGAUCCCAGGCCUUGUGGCCCCCGCCGUGGAACCCUCUGUCCACUGUGGGGUCAGUGGAUGAGCAGCUGGCCCUGCGGCCCGGCGCUGUAGGGCAGGGAGCACCCUGCGGCGGGCACCGGCCACGUGGCCCAGCCUGCAGCCCCACUCCAGCACCCCCAGCAGAGUCCCGGCCGCGGCCCUGUGGCUCUGCCUCCUGCUGCCGGGUGGGGACCCUCACGUCCCUCCUUGUCUCCUGUGGGCUGACAGGGCUCAGGGCCUGGCUUCUUUGUGGCCACAGCGUUCACCCUGUUGGUGGCCGCAGCGCCCCGAGCGCCCUGGUGAGCGGUCGGGGAGGCGGCCUCCCCCAGCCUGCCCUGCCGCUGGGGUGGGUGAGGAGACGUUCCCCGGCAACCAGCCCCUUAUGUAACGCAGGCGCCCGUGGGAGGCACGCGGGGCGAGCGUCUUACUCGGCUGUUUCUCCCCCGUGUGAGUGUGGAGCCGGCGUCACCCUGCGGCUGCCGGCUCGGUCACCCACGUGCUCGCCGCCGCUGCAGACUGAAAUACCUGCGGCAGGUGACAUGCCGCGGGGAACCCCUUCCUGCCAGCACCCCCGGUGUGAGGUGUGCGGCCCGCGUGUAGGGCCCGAGGCUGAGCUUGGGGUGGGGGCGUGGGCCGAAACUGCCCACUGGGAGGCUGGGGUGGGGUGGGCAGGCUUGCACAGGUGCCCCGUCGGGGCGAGGACCCCGGAGCUGCUGCUGGGGGUGGGGUGGGCAGGCUGCGUGCACCUGCGCCUGGUGGCCCUGGGGUGCUGCGGCUCCCGGGCGGGGACGGCUCUCACUCGCGCUCAGGCAGUGCGUGCUCGGCUGAGGCCCCCUGACGGCCCUGGGCAGCCUCUGGAUGGGCGCUGGGCCUGCGCCCCUGGACUGCCCGUCGUCCACGCGCGGCCAGGGAGGUGAGCCCCGCGCUGCCCGUCCACGUGCGGGCAGGCAGGUGAGCCCCGCGCCCCGCACCGCCCGUCCACACGCGGCCAGGGAGGUGAGCCCCGCGCCCCGCGCCGCCCGUCCACGCGUGGCCAGGGAGGUGAGCCCCGCGCCCCGCGCCGCCCGUCCACACGCGGCCAGGGAGGUGAGCCCCGCGCCCCGCCCCGCCCUUCCACACGCGGCCAGGGAGGUGAGCCCUGCGCCGCCUGUCCACGUGUGGCCAGGGAGGUGAGCCCCGCGCCCCGCGCCGCCCGUCCACGCGUGGCCAGGGAGGUGAGCCCCGCGCCCCGCGCCGCCCGUCCACACGCGGCCAGGGAGGUGAGCCCCGCGCCCCGCGCCGCCCGUCCACACGCGGCCAGGGAGGUGAGCCCCGCGCCCCGCGCCGCCCGUCCACGUGUGGCCAGGGAGGUGAGCCCCGCGCCCCGCGCCGCCCGUCCACGCGCGGGCAGGCCCGGCCGCGUACACUGUUCCUGAGCAGACGCCUCCCCCGGGGGGGCUGCCUGCUUCUAAUUUCAGCUGCGGGAGGCUCCUUGCUCACUCUCACUCUCACUCCUUUUUAAUCCCAUGUUUAUUUAAAGCCAGAUUUUGAAAUGCCGUCUGCAGCCCUGAAAUCUGACGGCUUCUACAGAGGAUCCGAGAGCGCAGCCAGAACCCCAGUGCCCGCGGCGCGUGGACGGGCGCGGGGGCACCGCCCUGGUCCCCAGCUGAGCUGACGGAGGAGCGGGGGUGGGCGGAGCCGCACUCCCCACCCUGGCCUGGGACCCACUGCGCCCUGCCCUGGAGGGUACUGAAGCAUCAGGCGACCCUUGUGGCCGAGGCACAUCCCCCCGAGACAGGUCGGGGCACAGCCGUGGGAACCGCCCGGAGCCCUGGGGUGCGUGGCAGCAGCCGGCCGAGAGCCACACGUGCUGCCUCCUGCUCGCUGGGAAGUCAGUGCCAGUGGCGCAGGGGGAAGAGCCCCAGCCCGCAGUGCCAGCAUCCCACCAGCGCGCUGGUUCGAGUCCCAGCUGCUCCACUUCCCAGCCAGCUCUCUGCUGUUGCACCGGGAAGCCGCUGGAAGACGGCUCAGUCCUUGGGCCCUGCACCCACACAGGAGACCCUGAAGAAGCUCCUGGCUCCCGGCUUUGGGUCAGCGCAGCUCUGGCUGUCAUGGCCAUCUGGGGAGUGAACCUGCAGUGGAAAAUCGAUCUCUCUUUUCUCCGUGUUUCUCAGUCUUUCUGUAACUCGGUCAUUCAAGUAAAUAAAAUAUUAAAAAAACG